AAGUAGUAGAAAACUUUUUCAAAACUAUUGUAGAUUGGCGGCAUUUUUUAUAUUAGAGGAACCUGCUAAGUAAUCGAUAAUCCACGUUAAAUUUCACUUUUAUUUAUAUUUUAUAUACCUCCAUCUCAAGAAUUUAUUUUUAUAAUAUUAUUCACAAAAGAUAACUAGCAAGUUAGGUAAAGGUGUAGACAACAUAAAAGAUAUAGUGGGUUACUUUAAAUAUUAUUUAAGGAAAAAUAAUAAAAAUUAUUUUAUAAAAAGGAUUUAUAAGUAAUGUUUUAAUAAUAUUAAAAUUUGAAAAUAAAAAUAAAUGUGC
rnacentral:rRNA from 1 species